UGAGUGACAUGAUGAAACUUUUAAUGCAGAGUCCAAAUAUACAAUGUGGACAACCUACCUUGGAGAACUGAUUGCUCA